AUUGAACGCUGGCGGCAUGCCUUACACAUGCAAGUCGAACGGCAGCACGGGAGCUUGCUCCUGGUGGCGAGUGGCGAACGGGUGAGUAAUAUAUCGGAACGUGCCCAGUAGUGGGGGAUAGCCCGGCGAAAGCCGGAUUAAUACCGCAUACGAUCUACGGAUGAAAGCGGGGGAUCGCAAGACCUAGCGCUAUUGGAGCGGCCGAUAUCUGAUUAGCUAGUUGGUGAGGUAAAGGCUCACCAAGGCGACGAUCAGUAGCUGGUCUGAGAGGACGACCAGCCACACUGGAACGGAGACACGGUCCAGACUCCUACGGGAGGCAGCAGUGGGGAAUGUUGGACAAUGGGUGAAACCCUGAUCCAGCAAUGCCGCGUGAGUGAAGAAGGCCUUCGGGUUGUAAAGCUCUUUUGUCAGGGAAGAAACGGUUCUGGCUAAUAUCCAGAGCUAAUGACGGUACCUGAAGAAUAAGCACCGGCUAACUACGUGCCAGCAGCCGCCGUAA
rnacentral:rRNA from 1 species